rnacentral:rRNA from 1 species
UACAGAGGGGGGCAAGCGUUGUUCGGAAUUACUGGGCGUAAAGGGCGCGUAGGCGGCCCGCUAAGUCGAACGUGAAAUCCCCCGAGCUCAACUCGGGAACUGCGUCCGAUACUGGCGGGCUUGAAUCCGGGAGAGGGAUGCGGAAUUCCAGGUGUAGCGGUGAAAUGCGUAGAUAUCUGGAGGAACACCGGUGGCGAAGGCGGCAUCCUGGACCGGCAUUGACGCUGAGGCGCGAAAGCCAGGGGAGCAAACGGG